AGGAGCCGUGUGAUGCGAAAGUAUCACGCACGGUUCUGAAGCCGAGUCAUAUUGGAGACAAUGUGGCUUAGGGUCAUACGGAAUGGUUAAAAAAGUCGAAAAAUUUCUCUGGAGCUUAU
rfam:Raphidiopsis brookii D9 D9_42, whole genome shotgun sequence.